rnacentral:misc_RNA from 1 species
GAUAAAUUGAAACCACAAUUAGGGAAAAAAUUGCUUGCUUCUUUUUGGAUGCCAAAAUCCUUCUAACUUGAAAUAAUCAUGAACAAACAGGGGAAGGAAAUGACUAAAGAAGUAGGAAGCCUAUACUUAUUUUUGGAAACUACUGCAAGUACCGCUAGAAAAUCAUCACUUAGAUGGUUGUCAUUGAUUUUGGUCUAAAAUUGAGGCUUGCAGUCAACAUGUCAAUCACUUUUUACAAGUAAUAUCAAUAGGGAAGGAAAAUCCAUUUUUGCAUAAAAGCUCAGAAUCAG